CUGAAUACAAUCUUUUACUGUUAGAUAGUGAAGGGAUUGAUGCUUACGACCAAACGGGUACCUAUAGCACUCAGAUAUUCUCAUUAGCUGUUCUUUUGUCAAGCAUGUUCGUAUACAAUCAGAUGGGAGGUAUCGACGAAGCUUCACUCGAUCGUCUUUCUCUUGUCACUCAAAUGACAAAGCAUAUCCGCGU